AAGUCCUGCAUUCUCUCUCAGGGAGUCCAGAGCUCUGCUGCUCACCAAGCUGGAAGGAAGAAGUGGAACCUGGAACAGAAUUCUUCCUGGUGAGAGUUGAGAAGGGCAGCCCCUCCUGACUGAGAACUCAGGCUGUGACUCUGGCUCCCACUCCCAGAGCUUCUGAGAAGAUGGCUUGACAGCCUGUUUGGAGUUCCUCUGCUAUCGACCAGCAGUUCAGUCCUGCAGCAAACGCCAAAUACGAUUCAGCAGCUGCAGUUCCAUCCUGAAGAAUCCGCAAGGCUCACCAACCUGCCCAUGGCCGCUGAAGCGGGGGAACCUCAUAAACUGUUCUUUGGCAAUCCUGCGUUGGCCCCUUCGCAAGAUGAAACUGAGGAGCAAGGCAAUUAGGAGCUGAACUCCACUGAGGUGUUCAGAAGUCUGUACACGCGCCUCCCUGGAAAGCACCCAGCACUCCUUGCUGUUCCCAGAUCCUGUUGUCUCCUUAUCAAUCCCUGAGGCCAGCAGAACAAACCGAGGUAUGGUAUUAUAAAUGCGGGCUUGAGGUCACUGAGGGUCACAGAGUCCACAGCAAAGGGGAAUCAGAAACCACAAUGGUCUGCUCCACUCUCACACUGCAAAUGCUCAUGACUACGUAAGCACAGCAAGAGUACAAGGAUCGUCCCUACAGAGAUCCUCCCUCAUCAGCUCAUCUGUCUGACCCUCUGUGCCCCUGGACAUUAUCAGCUGGGAGUGUGGAAGAUUCUAGAGAAUGUGCCAUCCCUCAGUGGUGUUUCCACAGUUCAAUAAACAACUGAUUCUUCCACUAUUGCCAUGACCAUCUCCACCUCUUAACUCCAUGCCUACUUUCUCCCUUAAGAAAACAAAUAGGCAAGUAAAAGACAAACAAGGAAGGAUAAGCAGCAGAGAAACUAAGAAGGAGCAUGAGACACGCACGCACUUCCUUGUCUGAGCGCUGGGACUCUGGCUCGAACCUGUACAGUUUCUCCAGGACUUUUAUCAUGAAGAGAUGCUGGCUUUUAUCAAAGACACAAAGGGGAAUGGUCCAGAUCCACAAGCUUGUCAAAAACAACAGAGGUAUAAGGUCAUAGAAUUCAUGUCCACCUUGCAGUCUGCUUCUCACCCACUGCCCUUUGGAAAGCCGAUUCCUUCCUCCUGUUCACGAGCUGUUGGUACUCUAUGUUCUGCCUGCCUUCCAAGAGUUCACAGAGUUUGGCAGUGUUUACCCUGUGUUGUCUCAGCUGCUGAGAAAUGGCGUCUUCUGCACCAGGGGCCGAAACACCACCUUUGUAGUACUUUUCUUCUCAGCUCUGAGUUUUGUGGAGAUCAGACUUCCUUCCUGAUCCUCAUUUGCCUUUCAACAAGAAGCCUUCACUCAUUUAUUGACCCACUUACUUUGUACAGACAGUUGUUCAUCAGAGCAUGUUAGGAACCAGGCCCAAGACCCCGACAGAUACUAGAAUCUGAGGAACCUCAAGUUUCUUAUACAAAAUGACACAGUAUUUGCAUAUAAUCUAUGCAUAUCCCCUUGGGCACCUUAAUUUUUACUUUUUGGCUUUUUUUAUUGGGUAUUUAUUUCAUUUACAUUUCCAAUGCUAUCCCAAAAGUCCCCCACACGCUCCCCACCCACUGCCCUCCUCCCACUUCUUGGCCCUGUCGUUCCCCUGUACUGAGGCAUAUAAAGUUUGCACGACUAAUGGGCCUCUCUUUCCACUGAUGGCCGACUAGGCCAUUUUCUGAUUCAUAUGCAGCUAGAGACAUGAGCUCCAGGGGGGUACUGGUUAGUUCAUAUUGCUGUUCCACCUAUAGGAUUGCAGAUCCCUUUAGCUCCUUGGGUAUUUUCUUUAGCUCCUCCAUUGGGGGCACUUUUUGGCUUUUUGAAUACAGACUUGCAAUGUAGCUCAGGCUGGCCUUGAACUCUUCAUCCUCUGGCUCAGCUUCCUAAGUACUGGUGUGAAUAACCAGUGUGAAUCAUUAUACCUAACCUUCCUCCUGUGUAAUAAAUAAAGUUUACAUUAUUUAUCAUACCUAAUACCAUGUAAAUGGUAGAUAAACAAUCUUGGUGAUAUAUUGAUUAGGGGCUAAUGACAAGAAAAAAAGUUUGAACUUGUUAAAUAAAGAUGCAGUUAAAC
ensembl:processed_transcript E230016K23Rik RIKEN cDNA E230016K23 gene